UAUAUGAACUACAAUAUUCUUCUUUAUCAGUAUUGUGGCUCUGUUGUUGGUAAGAACUUCAAGAAUUCUCAAUUGAUAACCCUAGCGCUUUAUUUGACCAGCAUCAGGUUGGUAAGGCUGAUAGGAAACCAAGUUGGACUUUAUUUUAUCAAGCUUCCACUCAUUACUUCUUGUCUUGUCCUGCUCUCAUGUGCCCUGGAGAAGAAGUCAAUCCACUAUUCUUGGUGAAGAUACUCAA